rnacentral:rRNA from 1 species
AACGAACGCUGGCGGCAGGCCUAACACAUGCAAGUCGAACGUGAAGCCACCUUCGGGUGGUGGAAAGUGGCAGACGGGUGAGUAACGCGUGGGAACGUGCCUUUCGGUUCGGGAUAACCCAGGGAAACUUGGGCUAAUACCGGAUACGCCCUCCGGGGGAAAGAUUCAUUGCCGAAAGAUCGGCCCGCGUCGGAUUAGCUAGUUGGUGGGGUAAAAGCCUACCAAGGCGACGAUCCGUAGCUGGUCUGAGAGGAUGACCGGCCACACUGGGACAGAGACACGGCCCAGACUCCUACGGGAGGCAGCAGUGGGGAAUAUUGGACAAUGGGCGCAAGCCUGAUCCAGCCAUGCCGCGUGGGUGAAGAAGGCCCUAGGGUUGUAAACCCCUUUCAGCGGGGAAGAUAAUGACGGUACCCGCAGAAGAAGCCCCGGCUAACUCCGUGCCAGCAGCCGCCGUAACAC